rnacentral:rRNA from 1 species
UAGGGAAUCUUCCGCAAUGGACGCAAGUCUGACGGAGCAACGCCGCGUGAGUGAAGAAGGAUUUCGGUUCGUAAAACUCUGUCGUUAGAGAAGAACAGCGCAUAGAGUAACUGUUAUGCGUGUGACGGUAUCUAACCAGAAAGCCACGGCUAACUACGUGCCAGCAGCCGCGGUAAUACGUAGGUCCCGAGCGUUGUCCGGAUUUAUUGGGCGUAAAGCGAGCGCAGGCGGUUAGAAAAGUCUGAAGUGAAAGGCAGUGGCUCAACCAUUGUAGGCGUUGGAGACUGUUUGACUUGAGUGCAGAAGGGGAGAGUGGAAGUCCAUGUGUAGCGGUGAAGUGCGUAGGUAUAUGGAGGAACACCGGUGGCGAAGGCGGCUCUCUGGUCUGUAACUGACGCUGAGGCUCGAAAGCGUGGGGAGCGAACAGG